GUUGAAACGUCUUCUGAGCUGCCACA
rnacentral:sRNA from 1 species